CCUUACGGCCAUACCACCCUGAGAACGCCCGAUCUUGUCUGAUCUCGGAAGUUAAGUAGGGUCGGGCCUGGUUAGUACUUGGAUGGGAGACCGCCCGGGAAUACCAGGUGCUGUAAGCU
rnacentral:rRNA from 1 species